rnacentral:lncRNA from 1 species
UCAGCAUAAGUAUAUUUCUGAUUUACUGCAUCAGUUUGAUUGUGCAAAUGUCUCCUCUGUCGUCUCCCCUUUGGAUAUUAAUGUCAAACUUCAUGCUGAUUCUGGUGUCCUUUUAUCCUCUCCUGACCAGUACAGGAGUCUUGUUGGUAAGAUGUUAUUGGUUGAUCUUGGGGUAUCUGUUUCUCUUCCUUUUUCUGUGUAUUGUGACAGCUAGGCUGAUGUCCAUAUAGCUAAUAAUCCUGUUUUUCAUGAGCGUACCAAACACAUCGAGGUGGACUGCCAUUUUGUUCGAGAUCAGCUCCAGAAUGGCCUUAUCAAGCUGCUUCAUGUUCCUACUUCUCGUCAACUGGCUGACCUGCUCACUAAGCCAUUACCUCGUACCAAACACAUCGAGGUGGACUGCCAUUUUGUUCGAGAUCAGCUCCAGAAUGGCCUUAUCAAGCUGCUUCAUGUUUCUACUUCCCGUCAACUGGCUGACCUGCUCACUAAGCCAUUACCUGGCACUGUGCUUAAUCCGUUGUUAUCCAAGUUGCAGGUGGUUACCCCCUCCAACUUGAGGGGGG